GCAAAGAGGCCACACCCGUUCCCAUCCCGAACACGGCAGUUAAGCUCUUUUGCGCCGAUGGUAGUUGGGGGUCUCCCCCUGUGAGAGUAGGACGUCGCUGGUC
rnacentral:rRNA from 1 species